rnacentral:misc_RNA from 1 species
CUUACCUCAGUCCCAGAGCCUACAUCGGAAAAUUCUGAACUAAACCCGAGUUCCAACUCGGAUUCUCAAUCCUCGAAACCCGAAUCGGAUCAAUCGAAACCAUCCUCUCCACCAUCAACCACCAGCUUUGAUUACUGGGACGAAGAUGAAUUCGAAGGUCUCCCUGUUCAUCAACCCCCGCCGGAAACCCCUAAAGCUAUGGAGUCUACCUUUCACGCUGAUAACCAAAGCACAGAUCCAAAACCAAAUACGUUUUUGAAGAAGCAGCAAUCCUAUACAGUGGAAAUUGUGUGCGUCUCUUUCUUGAUCAUGUUCAUUAUCAAUUACUUCACUGGGAAACGAGAAAAUGAGAAUUUGGCGCUAUCUUGGGCGGCAAAAUUCGCUACC